rnacentral:lncRNA from 1 species
UCUUACCAGUCUUGAAUCUGUGUGGGUAAUAACCAACCAUCUUGAGCAUCUGUCAUGUAACACUACAAUUUGGCAAUGCAUCUCAGUCUGCUUUAGAAACCAGGCCUAAAUUUAGCACCUGCCUCACACAGUCGAAAUUUGUAUUAUUGUUUCUGAUUUGAAAACAUUAAAGUAUAAUCCCAAACUUUAGAGGCAGCAGGAAACAUGGAAUGAAAUGCUAACACAUGUUGAUGACUGAAUUUGCCACCAGCAGGCUGAAUAAGCUGAAGCAACAUUCCUGAUGCAUGGAGCCUCAGUCUUUCCUUUUGACCAGAACCGCUGGUGUUUUGUUUCUAUCUGAGAGCAGGGAGACUGAUAUCAAGGUGAAACAACCCUGUUUCUCCACAAGGACAUCGAGAUACCAUGACUUCACUCUAUUCCCACUUUCAUAAUGGCAAAAUUACCAAGCAGAGGAAUUUGAAGCAGCACACUGCCCAAAUGGCUGAAAUGAAAUGGUGUUAUUCCACUGGAAAAAUAUUGACUAUAAAAUCCUGACCUUGGAAAGUGGACCUGAAGAGAGACUCACAUUUAUUUCCAGUGUGUUGGAUGACUGUGACUCUAACUAAAUGGAACAAUGUCUUCAUCCAUUUUUGGUACUCAGGUUCUCUUCCUGCUUCUCUGUUAUGUUUUGAAGCAACUGAGAGACCCUCAACAGAGGCCAAACAGAUGUAGCCACUCAUCUUAGAAUUUUGGCCUCCAAAACUGUUUCAAGUGGGUUGCCACCACAGAUAUGCAGCAUUCUGGGAACAAUGGAUGGGUCAAAGUGAAACCCAUCAGGAAGCACCAUUUCUCACCCAAAAUGGCCACAGGUUAGAAAGGAAAUUCAAUCAAGGCACGUCAGAAUUUUUCACUAGAUAUUUUCCAAUGGUUUCUGGAACGAUAGAAAUCCUCUCUCACCUUAAGAAAUAAGAACUCGAAACUGGGUGAGGCAGCUACCUUUCCUCUCUAGGGGAGAAAGCCAGUUGCAAACAAAAGAAACAAGGCUGACCAACAAAAAGAAGAUUCACAAACUUCCAUGUCACUGGCAUCCUCAAAACUUCACGGUGCUCUUUGUAACAAUGAAGUUACUCAGCCCUGGUGAAUUUUUCUCUAGGAAGUCUGGUGUGACCCUUCCAGGAUUGAUUUAGGCUCUACUUUCCAUAUUUCUACAGAACUCGUGUCUAUCUCUGUUGUAGCAUGGACCACUGUACCGUGAGUUACCAAUCGCUCUUCUGUCUUCACUACUGGUCCAUUAGAGCCAGAGAGCUGGCUUUGACUUUCAGUUCCUGCUACUUCUUGUGCUGAACAUUUCUUUGUCUCUGCGACAAAAACAUGUUAUUUUUGUCUCACAGCAGUCCAUAGGUAUGCCAUAAUAGUUAAAAUUUUAUUUUGAUGUGUCUUUAUGGUUGUUUUGAUUGCUCUGUUUAAGAUUUGGUGACUUCAGUCCAUCCACA